AGUAACAGAACCUGUGUGCAAGAGCUAGGUGAAGGACCUCUAGCACUAGGGAGCUCUGUCCACUUCUCUGAGGAAGUGAGGCCACGUGUGGGGUACCGCAACCAAUUCAUCAUUGCCUUCUCCAGCUGCUGGAGACAGGGCACCGGAGGGUGCACUCCAGGUUCAGGUGGCAGUGUUGAAGCCGAAAGCUUCUAAAGAAGUGGUUUCAGAAAAAUUAAGAGUUGAAUGUAUAUGAGUAAGCAAACGUAGGAAUCCAAAAAACCACAGCCUGGGACAGAUCAAGCCUAGUACCUUUCCAGCACUUAAGAAGAGUUCAUGCCCAAUCGAUUCACUAUUCAUCUUGAUUCCAUCAUGAAGGCUGGUCUUGGGUGUGAGUGAGUGAAGAAGCUGCUCCCAAACUCUCUGCUCUAAGGGAAGAUGGGGCUUGGAGGAGAUUUGACUUUGUAUAUAGUGCAUAUACAUGAAUGCUAGAUGCUGCAGGUAAAAUAGCUAACCUUAAGGAUAGGGUCUCCAGAAAAGAACAGGAUAGGUCCCUUAGAAAGUGACGAUCCUGGUACAGAAUGGGUUAGGAGAGCAGAGAAGCUGGUAGGUGGCUUCCAAUGUUAGGAGAGUUUCUUUUUAACAUUACUGUUUCUUAUGGAGCAUCUGCUUUGAGGUGUAUAUACCCCAGAGAAGGGGUACCCUUAAGGUCUUCAGGUGUUAUUCAUAGUAACAGCCUUUUUCUUUUAGUCCUAGUAAGCUGGCUAUAAAUCAGAUGGAAGAUUUGGGGAAAGCAGUACCAAUAUAAAGAUAUAGGAGCUGAUUUUUGUUGGUCUUUACUUGACAGAAAAUUCUAACAACAGGAAAGACUUGUAUCUGGGAUCAUUUUCCAUUCCUAGAAUAGGCCUACUCUUCCCCCCCCCCCUGUUGGAAGAAUGAUACCCAAGUGCUUAUUAUGUGAAGAAGGUGAUAAAUCGUUUGAAUAUAUAAGCUCUUGCUAAUAAGGUUACAGAAAACAAAGGCCAAACAAAACACUUGGAAUAAAAUCUUCAACC
rnacentral:lncRNA from 1 species